AACGCGUGAAGGCGAGGACUCUGACAAGACUGCCGGGGACAACUCGGAGGAAGGUGGGGACGACGUCAAAUCAUCAUGCCCCUUAUGACCUGGGCUACAAACGUGCUACAAUGGUGACAACAAAGAGGAGCGAGACCGUAAGGUGGAGCGGAUCUCAAAAAAGUCAUCCCAGCUCGGAUUGUGGGCUGCAACCCGCCCACAUGAAGUUGGAGUUGCUAGUAAUCGCGGAUCAGCAUGCCGCGGUGAAUACGUUCCCGGGUCUUGUACACACCG
rnacentral:rRNA from 1 species